GAUUGGCUUUUAGCAAAGAGUGAGAACUUCGCUGCCAUUUCCCUCCAAGACCCCUUGCACCUUGGGAAGAGUCACACCGAUCAAGAAUUGUAGUGAAACUGGUGAGUGAAGGGAAUUUGAGUAGAUCUUCUCCUUUUUAUAACAGCAGAUUUUCACCCAUAAUUUCAUGGGCUGGUUUGGGGCUGGGUUAUUUUGACUUCCUUGGGCAGAGGCAGAUUUAGGGGCAUGUGACUGGUUUACCUGCACUGGGCCCCAGACCAAGAGGGUGCCACAGGGGACACUGCAGCAAUGAUGAGCAAGUGGCAAUGGAAAGCAAGUAGCGGGAGGUGGGGAAUGAAUGUUGCACAGGGCACUGCUGAAACUAUAAAGCCCAAAGCCCACUACUGCAUUGGGGGUGCAGUCAUGCAAUUUUUGCUAAUGAAACCUCAAAUAGGGGCCCCUAUUUCCAAGGGCAGGGAAUGGAGUACAAUAAAAGUACCGUAUUUUUUGCUCUAUAAGACUCACUUUUUCCCUCCUAAAAAGUAAGGGGAUAUGUGUGUGCAUCUUAUGGAGUGAAUGCAGGCUGCACAGCUAUCACAGAAGCCAGAACAAGAGGGAUUGCUGCUUUCACUGCACAGUGAUCCCUCUUGCUGUUCUGACUUCUGAGAUUCAGAAUACUUUUUUUCUUGUUUUCCUAUUCCAAAAACUAGGUGCGUCUUGUGGUAUGGUGCAUCUUAUAGAGCGAAAAAUACGGUAAAUGCUAUUCAAGUUACAGCCUCAUCUUUCCCCCAAAAUUCAUGGGUGGUGGAAUUUGGGAGGCUAUUUCACAACUUUUCAGGAGGAACCACCCUCAUCAGAUUUUUUUUUUUAUUGUGAAAUGUGAGCUCAGCCCUAGCUUAAAUAGAUGGAGCCCUUGCAAUUUUCAGAGUGCUAUAAAUAUUCUGUUUCAGUCAUGGCAUCUCUUCUUUUAGGGAUAUAGAGUUCCUAGCUAAACACCGACCUUUGCCUAACCAAAGCCAUGAAGACCUGUUACUAUUUCCUUCUUGCCAUUGCCUUAAUCCUCUCAGCUGAUCCAGGUAAGUUAUUAGUCCAGCUCCCUUUUGAGGUUAGGCAACCAAAGCUGUACACAGUAUUCCAAAUGUGUUUGCAUGCAGCUCACUGCUGGGGAUCUAACUUCCCUGUCUUGCUCAUAUUCUCCUAGAACUCCCUAGGCUUCUUCCACUGAAACGAUUCCCUUUGUGGAGAUGGCUAGUUGUUGGGCCAUUGACUGCUACUUUUACACUGAAAUGACUAGGCUAAACACAACUAUGUAUUUGUUCCAGUUGUUCCCAAUGUAGAUUUUCAUUCCUCCCUCCCUUCAUUCACCCUUUCUUCCCUAGUGGGUGAUGGUACCUUUUCAUGGUAUGCUUCAGGUGCCAACAGGUCUUGGGUCAGCCAUGCCAGGUUGAAGCACCACUGCCCCACUUAGAAAUUGUGUUCUGCAUGGCAAUUGAAUUUAGGAAAAUGUUGCUUUUGGUGGCAAUAGAAGCCUCCAACAGAAGCUGGAUGGGGUGCAACUUGGAGGGAAGUCUCAGUGUGCUGGUCUCCCCAACUGUGACCCCCACCUUAAAAUAUAUAAUUGCCCCUUCAUGACAACUAGACAUGGGGAAACAACUUCCCUUGGCAACAGUGAGAGCAUUUUUCACAAGCCGUCGUUCUGUACCACAGUCCUUGGGGCUCUCUAUCCCUUGUUUAUACUGUUUUUAGGAAAAAGAGAAUUUGCAAUAAGACCCAACAAUCAGAUGAUGGAAUGAUGCCAAGAGGAAAAGAAAGCAACUGGAUAACUAGCUAGAUGCAGUUUUCAAGUUCACUAGUUGUAAUGGAAAGAAAAGGAUUCUUAGUAACUUCUUCUUCUUCUUCUUCUUCUUCUUCUUCUUCUUCUUCUUCUUCUUCUUCUUCUUCUUCUUCUCCUCCUCCUCCUCCUCCUCCUCCUCCUCCUCCUCCUCCUCUUUUUCUCUUUGGGAGGAACAGUCUUUGUUCAGGUAAUAGGCGAGGAAAACUGUGGUAACUUGGGUGGCGUCUGCAAAGACAGCUGUGAGAAAGAACAUGAAGACAUUGGAGAAUGCAGUACAACACGUUGCUGCAUAAGGUGAGAGUUAUACCACAACCAACCAACCAACAAAAAAAGCAAGGUGCAUUUGUUGAAUGUCAAAAGGAGUGAAUUAAUUGGAAAUGCCAAAGUGGUAGACAUUUUUCCAGUUUAUGCCAGUUCACCAUCUCCACCUGUCCCUGCAGAGAUCAGAUCUGGCCACAGGUCUGUCUUAAUUACAUCCAGGGUGGAAUACUGCAACUUGCUCCAAAGGGGGCUAGCACAGAAGGGACUUUGGAAACUUGAAGCGCUGCAGAAUAUUGCAACAACAAAGUUUUUGGGCAUCUGUGGUAUGUUGAUUAGUUGAGUAAGGAAUUUAUUGCCCGCUCUCAGACAACUGAACACAGAAGAGAGGUCUAAAACCAUAGUAUUGUUCCUAUGCUUGAAUUUUUGUUUUGCUCCCACUGCCAAAUCUGGUGGGUUAAGAUCUUUAUAUAAAUAUAUUUCUCUACUUGUUUAGCAAGUAGGACAUAAGAGGACUUUUGUUCAUUAUGUUCAUAAUAUUUUGUUCACAAUUCUUUCUUUUCAGGUUCAAAAGAAUAUUUAAAUAAAUACAUGAAUGAAUGAAUUUAUUAUUUCAGUCACAGACGAGUUCCAGCUCACAUACAAAAUCAGGGAGGUCAUGAAACACAAUAAAGAUACAUUUAAACAAAUAUAAUUUUAUUAUUAAAAGUUCAUGAACAGAAAAUAAUAUAGUGCAACUGAUUUUCGGGGUUGGUGUGUUGUGGGACAAGCACACAAAGUGCAAUGAGAUUGAGUGCGGGGGGGAGGCUCAGUUAAUUUCAUUCUACACAGAUCGAAUAAACACAUUUACAAUAAAGGUAUUAUUAUUAUUAUUAUUAUUAUUAUUGCACAAAAUCUGUAGAGAAGUGGGGUUGAGUGCAGGAAGAAGGGGGAAGCAGGAACAGCAUUUUACAAUUUAUCAAGAUAUGUGUGAAUUUGUCAGUAUUAAUUUAUAAUCUCCAAACAUCUUAGUUUUGAUUCUGAAUGAUGGGGUCCAUCUCUGCUGCCACUUGGCUUGAGGAUUCAUCAGCUCCUACCUGAACACCAGCGUUAUCCAGGAAUUGUCGUUGUUUUGUCCACCAGCUGAAGGAUCACAAAAGCACAUUUGGUGUAAAUCUUCAAAGACCAUGCGUUAAUAAAAAAUAAAAAC
rnacentral:lncRNA from 1 species